ACAAAAAAAAACAAAUUUAAACUGAUUUUCAGUCAUAACCAGUAUUGAGCUUUAAAGUUUAAUGAUAAGUUAUUAAUUCAUGCAAUAUGUAGUCACUAGCAACAACACAGUUUUCAAAAUCCUAUUUACUCUCCUGUUAGCAAGUUGACAUGAGAUGUUUGUGGUAUAUAUGUAGAUAACUUGAUGUGUAGCUGCUAAGUGAUUUCCAGCCAUUCAAAUGUUAUUGACAACUGGAACCCCUCCUUGAUGUGUAGGUAUUUUGUAAAUCAUAACUUGAUGUUAUUCAUAUAUAUAUGCUCACCUAUAUACUUCUAAAUAAUCUCCUUGAUGUUGCCCUUUUAAUGCCUAGAACCUGCACCCAAGAACCAAGUCAAAUAUACUGGAAUCAAACUGUCCUCAACUGCUGACUGACAUCAGAGCGAUCUAAUAUUCCAUCUUACUUUUAAAUUGCCAACAAUCAUAGAAUGCAGAGCAAAUUAUAAAAUUUUAGUGUGCAAUCAUGUUGAGUUUGAAAAUGAUGAAAAUGAUUCCAGAAAAACGCCAAACAUGAACAACAAAUGAUGUUGAUUCCAUGGCUUCAGUUAAUUUUUCUUUGUACGUUUUCACCCUUUUAUUAGAUUGUGUUAUGGUGUGAAAUUAUUGCUCAAUUAGUUCUUAUCAUUUGUAGUUGGGGGUCAUAUCUUUUCUUUAAGCGCACUCCUAAAAAUAACACAUCUCUACAAUACGAACUUCUCUCUUUUUCAUAUUCUAAGAGUUAGUUUUUCAUAUUUUUUCUCAAGCAUUUCUCCAUACUUCUCUCUUUUUCUACUUGCGACAUGAUUAUAUUUGCCUCUUUUUUCUGUAAUACUAUCUAUUGCAGGAUAAUCUAAAGUAACGACGAGCAAAUAGAAGAUCGGUGGAUCUCAGAAAAAUCUGUUGUCGUAUCUGCUUAAACAAAAUGGAGCUUCCAUUGGGUUUGCUGGGAGUUAUUUCUUGUCACUUGGAAGAACAUCAAACGUCAUUGCAGGAAAACCCAGCACUGAAAAUGAAGGCUCGGAAGAAAAAACAUAGACCAAAGAUAAUCAGAGAGAAUAAGCUAGCCAAAGUCAGAAGGAUCACCUGAAGGCUGGCGCGUGGAGUCCUUGGCGCGUGGAGUCCCUGGCUGGCUGAAGGCGGCUGAAGGCUGGCGCGUGGAGUCCCUGGCGCGUGGAGUCCAAUUAUUUGAUGGCUUUAAAGCACCUGUAGCAGUAACACUUUGGGUCUAAUCACUUUGUGUCUAAUCUAGAAGCCAUUAAUAGUUGUAUGUACUAGUAUAGGCAUGCAGACAACAAUUGGAAAAUUGUAUGAUUCAUGUGAUCAUUUUCCUUGUA